rnacentral:rRNA from 1 species
GACGAACGCUGGCGGCGUGCUUAACACAUGCAAGUCGAACGGAAAGGCCCUUCGGGGUACUCGAGUGGCGAACGGGUGAGUAACACGUGGGUGAUCUGCCCUGCACUUUGGGAUAAGCCUGGGAAACUGGGUCUAAUACCGAAUAGGACCACGCGCUUCAUGGUGUGUGGUGGAAAGCUUUUGCGGUGUGGGAUGGGCCCGCGGCCUAUCAGCUUGUUGGUGGGGUAAUGGCCUACCAAGGCGACGACGGGUAGCCGGCCUGAGAGGGUGACCGGCUACACUGGGACUGAGAUACGGCCCAGACUCCUACGGGAGGCAGCAGUGGGGAAUAUUGCACAAUGGGCGCAAGCCUGAUGCAGCGACGCCGCGUGAGGGAUGACGGCCUUCGGGUUGUAAACCUCUUUCACCAGGGACGAAGCGUAAGUGACGGUACCUGGAGAAGAAGCACCGGCCAACUACGUG